UGGGGCCCGAUGGGAGCAGCAUGGCAGCAAUGGGAUAUGGACAGAUGGAGCAGAACCGAGGGAGACGCUGGCACGGGACACCAGCACUGGAAGCGGCCUGAACUUUCUGGAGGCUUUAAUGCUCCAAGGAUUUGCAUGUAACAGCCCAGCUCCCGGCCUUGAAAUCCAGCCCGAGCCAUGCAGCCAGGAGAUGGGAAUGGCUUGGACAGCCACUGAGCCCACCCUGCGGCCCUGCUGCCGCCGUUCGGCUCCAUGGAGGACAUCUGGGCUAGAUCCAACACCAUACGUAUGGAUGGAGGGAUGCUUGGGCUGGGCUUCAGCUGCUCUGGAAGCCAAAGGAAUGCCUCGGGCUCAUCCUGACUGCCACCAGGGUCCCUGGAUGGAGAAGCAGUGCCUGAGGCUGCAGCAUGUGUCAAUGGUCACAUAAGGCGCCUUGAAUCACAGGUCAGAGGCUCCUGCGAUGGGCCUGGAAGAAAUAUUGACCUGUGGAGAAAUGGGAGCCCUGACCCGAGCUCCAGACACGCUAAUGAGAUCUUAGAGUUUAUAUCCAGGCUGUGCUCUAAUUUGCAGGUUGAGAAUAGCUGCAUCGUGCCUGAUUUUCCUUAUCAGCUUGUUGCUGCGCUCUUUUCCUAGACACCGAGAUGAGUCAGAGCAUCGCAUCUCGUUCUGUACCGUCUAGAACAUAUUUCCUGAAGAACCUUAAGGGUGUUUUGCUAUUGAGCAAUUAACCUGGAUGCUCCAGAUUGGCCUGGAUGCAGCUUGCACAAGAGGACAAGAGGUGACUCAGGUGGAGAACAAUGAGAAGACCCCGCGGGAGCCAUCCUCCUCCAUCCCAUCGCAUCCAUAGCUUUGCUCCAGGUCGCAUUCCCAGUUUGCAAUGAACUCUCAAGAGAUGAUGUACAAUAUCCUGAUGGACUCAGUACUCCAAACACUGCUGCUCUGCUGGGAUGACUCCUGCUUCCACAGACCAGGGAGCCCGAUCCAAAAAACGGAGGUGCUGUUCUUCUCUGACACGUGCGGACAUCUGGAGAAGGUCAUUUCAAUGUCCAGCAUCCACCAUGUGCUGGAGGCACAUGUCACC